GAGUUUGAUCAUGGCUCAGAUUGAACGCUGGCGGCAUGCCUUACACAUGCAAGUCGAACGGCAGCACGGGAGCUUGCUCCUGGUGGCGAGUGGCGAACGGGUGAGUAAUGCAUCGGAACGUAUCCUGGAGUGGGGGAUAACGUAGCGAAAGUUACGCUAAUACCGCAUAUUCUGUGAGCAGGAAAGCGGGGGACCUUCGGGCCUUGCGCUAUCAGAUGAGCCUAGGUCGGAUUAGCUAGUUGGUGGGGUAAUGGCUCACCAAGGCGACGAUCCGUAACUGGUCUGAGAGGAUGAUCAGUCACACUGGAACUGAGACACGGUCCAGACUCCUACGGGAGGCAGCAGUGGGGAAUAUUGGACAAUGGGCGAAAGCCUGAUCCAGCCAUGCCGCGUGUGUGAAGAAGGUCUUCGGAUUGUAAAGCACUUUAAGUUGGGAGGAAGGGCAGUAAGUUAAUACCUUGCUGUCUUGACGUUACCGACAGAAUAAGCACCGGCUAACU
rnacentral:rRNA from 1 species